CUGUGCUCCAUCCGCCGUCUUGGUUACGGUUUCCAUGGGUGUUUACUGUUUAGUGUUUUCCUCCGUUUCGAUUUCUUUCAUCUUUGUUAGCGUUUGCUGCGGGAAUUCGUUUGAGAUUCGCAAGAUUAGCUUCUUGUUUGGACCUCGAUACUGAAAUCCGGUCCAGGCAGUCGGCAAACAUCCUGCCAUCUUGCGAGAUUGAACCCCAAGCCAGCUUCAACUCACCUGGAUCUGACACCUCGGUGAUUUUCUGGGCCCUUUCGGUUGGCACAUGCCUUCUUUCCAGUUCAAAGAUUGUUAACCAGUGUUGGUUUCUGAGACAUUUUUUCGUUGAGCAAAGCAAACGCACUCUGUCCCAAAACUUCGCCAUGUUUUGUGGCAAUUUCUUCGUUUGCGAUAGGGAUGAAUCCGAGAUCUCGUCCGUGAGGGAAGCUUCUUAUGAUCUCGCGGAGGAAUUUUGGAAACAUUCGAUGCAUAAUCAUGCCUCGGUUGUCGUAGUUGAUUGUUCUGUAUCGAAUCUUCUUUUUUAUGAAUAAAUACAUGAGCGAAUUGAUUUAAAUUUCUGGGCCCUUUCGGUUGGCUCAUUCUUUCUCCUGCUCCAUAGAGCUCGAUUCAGCUUUGCAGUUGUGUUUGUUUGGCUGCGAAAUCUAUUUAGCAUACAGAAAAUCACAAACGAUGGAUUAGUUUGGAGCAACUAAAGUUAACACUGGAACUAGGUAACUUCAACAAAAAAUGAUUACCUGAACUAGCUGCAUCGAUCAGGUCUUCAAUUCUCUAUACGACCAGUAAAUCAUAGCCUGCUGCUUGGCAGCGUACUUCAAACUUUGACAUGGAUGUUUGAAUGAAGUAAUGAAAGCAUCAUUGAACUUG